CGGCCCGACGCGUGCCCCCGCGCUAGCCCCACCGCGCAGCGGGACAACCGAGGCUCUGCGAUGGGGACGACCGACAGGCGGGCCCCGGGCGCGUCGUGCCGAUAAGCUCGACCACCGCCGCGACAGCCUAGCGUCGUUGGACCGGAUCGGCGCGGGAGGGAGGAAAAGGCCUCUCGUCACGGGCUGCGGUCCUACCCCGCCGUCCCUGCUCGGUGGGUCCGGUUGAUGCGCGUGAGGUUAUUUCGGCGGGUGUGGGGGAGUGGACGGGCUGGGCGGCGGCGCGGGGUGUGGCGCUGACGAGGCCGCGGGGCCCGCGCGGCGGGGGCUGGGUUCACGUGGACGUGGUGUGCGUGUGACGCAGGG
rnacentral:lncRNA from 1 species